rnacentral:rRNA from 1 species
CGAGAAAGUGGAGCAAUCCAUGAGUACAGUGGCGUACGGGUGAGUAACACGUGGGUAAUCUACCUCUUAGUGGGGAAUAACUUUGGGAAACCGAAGCUAAUACCGCAUAAGCUCGAGAGAGGAAAGCAGCAAUGCGCUGAGAGAGGAGCCCGCGGCCGAUUAGCUAGUUGGCAGGGUAAAAGCCUACCAAGGCAUAGAUCGGUAGCCGGCCUGAGAGGGCACACGGCCACACUGGCACUGAAACACGGGCCAGACUCCUACGGGAGGCAGCAGUGGGGAAUCUUGCACAAUGGGGGAAACCCUGAUGCAGCGACGCCGCGUGAGCGAUGAAGCCCUUCGGGGUGUAAAGCUCUUUCGGCAGGGAAGAUGGUGACGGUACCUGCAGAAGCAGCUGCGGCUAACUACGUGCCAGCAGCCGCGGUAAUACGUAGGCAGCGAGCGUUGUUCGGAGUUACUGGGCGUAAAGGGUGUGUAGGCGGUUGUUUAAGUUUGGUGUGAAAUCUCCCGGCUCAACUGGGAGGGUGCGCCGAAUACUGAGCGACUAGAGUGCGGGAGAGGAAAGUGGAAUUCCUGGUGUAGCGGUGAAAUGCGUA